AUGCUCACUACACAGCCACCCACCCUUUGCAAAGGGACUGAUUUUCUGCAGCAGCCACAGAAGGACUCAACACCAUGGAUAGUAUGCGCUGUACUGAGGAUUUUGCUCUGCAGGAGGAAGGACUCCUCUCCCCUAGCUUUCUGCAGACCACAUUCAGAUGAUCCUUCAGCAAUUGACCUCGACUCUGACUGGAAGGCUCCCACAGAGGAGUGGGGAAACUGGACAGGAGAUGAGGAGCAUCAGAUGGGAGAUGAGAAGAAGGGUUUGCCAAAAGGCAAAGACGACAUUCAUUCUUGUCUUUCUGGACAUGAAAGCAAAAUGCAGCGGAAGAAGAAGAAAAUUGAAGUGAAGGAAGCGAGGGGUAGAACUGGACUGAUGCAUGCCCAGCAAUGUUUGGAAGCAAAAGCAAAGGAAGGCCCAAGGGAGUUGAUAUCUACAAAACAUAGCAGUGAUACAGUCUGUGCUUCUUUCAAAAUAUCCUUGGACAUGGCUAAUAAUUCACCCGAUAUCGAUGUACCUGGAAAAAAGGAGAGGAGGAAGAAGAAGAAAAUGAAGAAAGAGACUUGAGGGAGCUGUGUAGCUGAUGGAGUGAAAAACAAGUGGGGGCAGGCAUGCUGAUUAGCUGCAAGGAUUCUGCUUUCUGCGAUGCUGCCCUGAGCCCGAAGCAAAGAGGGGAUCUAGAAGACUUCCCAGUGGGUGGAAGAGGAGAACAGGAGCAGUGAGCUAGAGAGAGUGAGAGCAUGUGAGCGAAAGGAGAGAAUGGGCACACUGUGCCCGGAAGGUGGUGUCGAAACAGAAUGGCUGCUAAUAACCAGUUGCUGCCCGUGAUUAAAAAACUGUUGAGUGGAUUUUGACCGGUUGUAUUAAAUCCUUUCAGUUUUUCACUGUUAUGCUGUUUGUCAAUUUGUGAUGUUACCUGCCGCUGUAGGAAUGGUCGAGGCUCCAGAGCUGCCCGUGAUUGUACUUUGAUUCCAAGGAGGAUUCACCAGUUGGCCUGGUCUCCUCUGGCAUUUUUGCAGAUGUGCUCAUUGACAGGCUAUUAAUGUACAGAAGAAAGUAUUGUUCAGAGACAAAGGGAGAAUAACACAGAUCAUUCUCAAACCUCACAAAUCUUUUAAAUUCUUGUUGGCUGCUACAGUCAGACUUUUGCCUCAUACAUCGACAUAUUUAUGCUUUUCAUCCUAUGCUCAGGCUAGCUUGCUCCACAAGUGGAAAUUUCUAAAGGAGGUUUUAAACUUAUUUGGAAAGAUGGUAUAAACCUUUUUUUCUCCUCAGUUUUCAUGGCGGGCUAAAGUUUAAAGUUUGUGUGUCCAAAGCAUGUUGCAUUUGCUGUACUUCUAGUAGAUCAAAGUAGCUUUUUGAGAUCGUUUUUCUAAUCUGAUGUUUGGAAGUUUUUAUCAUUUUGUUACUUAAGUAUUCUAAUAUAAACUACAUUUGUGAAUGAAAUUUUUUUAAAAAAUGUCAGUUUAGUACUUAUUGAAGAGCAUGUAUUUCUCAUUGUCAGAGGGCUUGUAGCAAGGAGGAGGGAAUAUGUUACAAUUGAAUCCUGCGGUUUAUAAACUGCAUCAGACUGACACCACUAAAAACCGAAGCCCUUUAUCCCUAGAGGAGCUGCAGCAUUGGUGGUAACUGUGCUGGUUUCUUCAGACUGUCCUGCAAAUGUGCGUCAACCUGGCCCAUUUUAGAAGUGCUACCUCGAAGGAGAUAACGACUGUCAGAUCUCCAUCUGCAUUCGACCUUGUGCCUUUGGAGAUCAUGUGGGAAGAUUACAAUUACUAAUGCAUGUUAAACAUAUGCUUGUUCACAGGGUUUGGGCUGAUGCUCUGAAAUGCAUUUCAUUGUAGGACACUGAGUAACCAUGGAUGUUAACAGCUUUGUACUUCCACAGCAACACUCCUGUUAGCAUUGCUGCGCCAGAGGAGAGCUCUGUAUUUCUGCCAUCUCAACCAUCCAGUCCCUGACACUGGCUUGUUUGAGCUUCACCUAAAGCUCAACAUCUUUACCUGAUAGCCUUCAUCUGUUCCAUAGCUUUCAAAGCAGCUGUGUCCUUCAAAUAAGCAAUUAACCACAGCAAGUGUUUAUGUAUUUAAAUUUCAUUACUAUAUGUAAAAGGACAGUUCUCUUCUGCUGUGAUUUUUUAGAGAGGCUAGCUAUACAGUGUGCCCUGAAGUUUAGCAAAGCAGAAUUAUUUCAGACAAACAGGUGAGGUGAGUCAAACAGGCCUUAACUGAUACCACUUGUCAGCCCACUGUCUAGAAUAUGCGCAUCUUGAUGUAAGAAAAAUAUAGGCAAUUUCUGAAUGGAAUGAAUAGAUCAAAUGAUUUUUUAUCUGGAAAAUAAUUGGUUCAAAGCAAAUGCAUAACAAGAAGAUACAUGGCCUCACUGGAGAAACAAGUACAGCAAGUUCAAAGAUACAGAAGAUGGCUUAAUGAGCAUGUACGUAAUGAGUAAAAUUCUAACUCUGAAGCCAGUGGAAAACAUCCAUUGACCUCAUUGUGGCCAGGAUGUUGCCCAAGGUCUUUAUUUAGCAUUGAAGAUAACCUCUGUCACCAAAAAAAAAAAAAAAGGGAAGAAUGAAGGAGAUAAAUAUUUGUAGACUCCAGAUUUCAUUUACUUUUCUCUCUGUGUCUGCUUGCAAACUUUUCAAUGUCUGUGUAAUCAUUUUUUUUCAACAUAUUACAGUAUUUCAAAUGUUCAUUGUUUUUAUAAUAAAAAACAAAACUUUUGCCCA
ensembl:lncRNA